rnacentral:rRNA from 1 species
UAGAGUAAUGCGUGACCAACCUGCCCCAUGCUCCAGAAUAGCUCUUGGAAACGGGUGGUAAUGCUGGAUGCUCCAACUUGACGCAUGUCUUGUUGGGAAAGUGUUUAGUGGCAUGGGAUGGGGUCGCGUCCUAUCAGCUUGUAGGCGGGGUAAUGGCCCACCUAGGCUUCGACGGGUAGCCGGCCUGAGAGGGCGGACGGCCACAUUGGGACUGAGAUACGGCCAGACUCCUACGGGAGGCAGCAGUG